UAAAAAGGCCGCCAACAUCAACUUAUCCCGCCAACCCAACCUUCAUUCCACCACUAGCCCAGUCACAUGAUCACUCUGCCACUGAUCCAACCCCAAGCUUCCCCAUCUACCAACAAUACCAGGGCACAACUUCCCAUUCACCCCCAAAUACACUCCAAAGAUGUUCCACACCCUCCUCUACCAGUUGCCCCUAUCUUUUUG
rnacentral:lncRNA from 1 species